rnacentral:rRNA from 1 species
UCUGAAUCUGCGAACGGCUCCGCAAACCAGUUGUAAACCACAGCAAGCUUGUUCAGGUCCGGCUUCGGUUGGGCCUGGACGAAACGGAUAACCCUGGUAAUUCUGAGGCUAAUACGUGUAUGGAACACCCGGUGGACUGGCUUAUGCUGGAAAGCCGGGAGACGAGUGAUUCAAUGCUUGGGUUAUUCCGGGAGGGGGUGCUCGCCUUGACCGCGCUACAAAGGACGGCCUUUCGGGGUCUUCCCAGCGGCUCUUGCGCGGUGCUUCUGACCUAUCAACUAGACGGCAGCGUAAUGGACAUGCUGUGGU